UCAAUUGCCACAUGGCACCAUUACAAUGUUGGGGUUGAACCACAAGGAGGCAUCGCCAAAUGUAGUAGAAAGAGAUGGAAAUUUAUUUUCAGGCAGUUUUUAUUGGAGAUUGCAAGCUGCUCUGUGAGGGAAGUUCCUCAAAAAGUGAGGGUGUACACUUUAAAAUGAUAAAACAGAACAGAACAUGCUUCGCCGCCCCCCAAAAAUCGAGAUUUUGAAGUAAGAGAGGACAUAAUCUUUCUACCGUGGCAUCCUGAGAAAGGACACAAAGCAGCCUAUUCUGUUCAUAUCCUCAUACCAACAACUGAAGGGUAGGGGCAUCUACCUGUGUCAUCAUGGGCGAAUGGAGAUUGCUCAGCUUGCUCCAUUCUUCCCACUGACAGAAACUUCAAGAGCUGACCCUUUUGAAAGUGUGUGCUCAAUGGAUUAUAGAACCUGUGGGGUAUCUACAUACGUAUGCAUCCCCACAAGAAAAGAUGAAACGAGAGCGAAAAGGGGGCACAAUUUUGCAUAAUAUUUACACAAGCUGAUUUAUAUGUAGAGGUACAGAUUUAGAAAUUUCUGUAAUUUAAGCAGAAAUAUAAUCUCUCUCACCCUAGUAGUGGAGAUUGUGGACAGACAGGUGACCUGUGUACCUGGUCAGUAUGGUGUCCAGGUUUUAAUGGGCUCCUCCUGCUUCCUUAGGGUUCAUAUUGAAACAGGACUUGGACUGGACAGCCAUUCAACUAGAGCAACGGGAAACUGAGUCCACAUGCUGGGCCAGAUUAUUACCUUCCCCUCAGCCCCCAUAAGUCAAAUUUGACAGGUUGGUGUGGCCGCCACCUGUCAAUCACUUGCCAUCACUUAAUACAUUGAGCCUGGAUGGAUGACUACCCUCUAUCCAUUAUGCAAUGGUCUGAGGGCCACAUGGCCCUGGCUAAAUUUGAACAUAGGUCAGGUAGAUGUCAAUUUUGUGUGGCUGACAUACAUAUACUGAUGGCUAUUGUAUCUGUAAUGUGAACUGAUAGUGGGUUUUUGUUGCUGUUGGCAUUACCUUUAUUUUAUUUAUUUUAUCCUUUCUUCCUGCUUUCUUUUGUAUGUUAAAAUUACAAAUAAAAUAGUAGUAGUAGUAGUAAUAACAAUAAUAUCUCUUCACAUUGCAAUGACGCCAGGUCACUUAUUUUUGCCCCCACCCCACGGUUUGAUAUCAGACUGUGGGCAAAGGCUCAGUCUGCAAACCGCUGACAAUCAGCUGAUUGUCAGGUCUCGUGAAGCUAGCGGCACAGCGCUUCAAAUUCGGCUUUGCCAUCUUUAUCCUUUCCCUUUCCCUUCGUCAGUAGCAGUAGUGACACUGCUGACAUAUGGGUGCUCUCCGUCCUGGAAAGGGAACUAACGUGUUGAAAAUCAAUGGCUGCAGGCUGUCUCAGAUUCAUCCUUGAAUCUGAGGUACAAUGAACAAUACAAGCCUACCUUAUAGACCUGUUGUAAUGAGGUAAUGCAUAAACAACCGCCUUGUGGUACCUUAAAGAUUUGGACACAUGAAAUGAAUAAUAAUAAUUCUUAUUAUUAUUUCCAGAGGGGUGGCCAUGCUAGCUGUUAUUAUUACAAUAAUGGUGUUAUUAUAAUAUAUGUUAUAAUGAUGAUUAUUGUCAUUGGUGUCUAAGGCUUGCAGUAAUGACCCCGUUUGCAAAGCACAUUUCUACUCUUGUUCCUUUCUUGGCAGCAUCAUAAUGGGCAAGACUCUGAGUGCUUAACUAAGAUGCAGCAUCUGAUGCAAACACAGUAUGAGCCUCCUGUAAUGAUCCCAUUUGAAAUGCCAUCACGUGCACAAAAACUACCCUUCGGGGAAGAAUAUUAAGC